UACGUAGGGUGCGAGCGUUGUCCGGAAUUAUUGGGCGUAAAGAGCUUGUAGGCGGUUUGUCGCGUCUGCUGUGAAAAUCCGGGGCUCAACCCCGGGUCGGCCGUGGCAACUACUCGGCUCGAGCACUGUAGGGGCGGGUGGAAUUCCGGGUGUAGCGGUGGAAUGCGUAGAGAUCCGGAAGAACACCGGUGGCGAAGGCGGCCCGCUGGGCAGGAAGGCUCGCAAGAGCCGGCUGACACUGAGGCGCGACAGCGUGGGGAGCAAACAGG
rnacentral:rRNA from 1 species